GAAGUCUUGGAGCCUCGACUCUGCGAGCACUCGAAAGGAUCGCGGACGCUACGACUUGUUUGAUGGAAAGCUCAAAGAAGAAUGGAGCUAGGAGGGGCUUCCUGACCUUUGGGGGAAAGCCGAGCACGCAGAUCCUGGGCUCAAAUCAUUCUGCCUCUUCCCGGGGGCGUAUUGUGACCCAAGGGGAUUCCCUCCCUUUCUGGGCCUCGGUUUUAGAGAAAGGUCCUAAUGCGGGAGUGGUGGGGGUCAAAUCCGGCGCCUUCCCCAGCCUUCUAGGCCUGCCCGCUUCCAAACUGCCCCUAGCAGGACAGCGUCACGGUCUCCAUAGUGACAGAGGCCUGCCCCCAAUCCCUCUGCCACAUCUGCGUAUUGGGGGAAAUAGCACUGGAUGACGACAAAUUCCGGUUACUAAAUUAGGGUCCAACGCAUCCUGAGACCUCAAGCCGAUAACCUACUGGGAAGGUGCACAGCAUACGUCUCUGUCACAACUACUCAACUCUGCCGUUGUAGCAUGAAAGCAGCCAUGGGUGGUACGUAAAGGAAUGACUAUGUCUGUGAUUCGAUAAAAAUUUUUAUGGACACUGAA